UAUUUUUCAACAGAAGAUACUCCUCUUCUUCGAUCUCCAUUAAGAUCUGCACACAAGGAGCAGAAAAAAAAGUAUAAGAGUCAUACUUGUUGCCAAAAUUAUUCAACCUUGGACUCGGUCAACGAGAUGAAGCUUGCUUAUUGGUAGCUGACUGACUUGGUCCAAUCAGAGCUUUAAUUUUUUUGUUUCUUUUUUUGAUCUUUUUCUUCUAUCUGACGUCGGUCAGAAGCGCCUUCAUCUAUAUGAAUAUACUUGUAUGCACGCUUCA
rnacentral:lncRNA from 1 species